GAGAAAGAAGAGCGAGGCCGGCUACAACAGAAAUUUCUGGAGGAAUUAAAUCAGCAAAUAGAAAAAAGAAAAGAAAUGGAAGAACGUGAAAAAAGGAAGAUAAUUGCUGAAGUAAAGCACAAGGAAUGGGUUCAAAAGAAAAAUAAGCAGGAAAGGAAAGAAAGGGAACAAAAAAUUAAUAAGGAAAUGGAAGAAAAAGAAGCAAAAAAACGGGAGAAAGAACAUUUGCAAGAAAAAGCAAAAGAAAAAUAUCAAGAAUGGUUGAAGAAAAAAAAAGCUGAAGAGUAUGAGAAGAAGAAAAAAGAGAAGGUAUUUUUAAUUGAAAUGACCAGUCAUUGUAUACACUUUGUUGUUUAUAUGUGUAUUUUAGAAACAAAAGUAUAGUAAUUCAGUCUAUACUGUUUAGUAUAAAAUACACAAACUAUUCUUACCCCUGUUAUCUUGUGUUUAAUCUUCAAAAUGGAUAAUGCAUUUAUGGUAUCUUUGAAAAUUAUUAAUACAACUUUGGAUAUUUAUCAGUUAACAAAAUUUUUUGUUACUGCUUUUAACCAUUUUUAUAGUAUUUUGUAGACAGAUUUUACUGCUUGUAAGUUGUCCUAAGACAAAUUUGCAUUUUUGUUUUGUGAAUUUGCUAUCUUACUGUUGAGUGGUGGACACUUAUAUACCACAUCGCUGAUCAUAUUUACUUUUACUCUUUGAUUAUAGAAACAUAGUUCAGUUUUAUGGCCAGUGUGUCACUGGGGGGGAAAGCAACUGGGGGAAGACAAACAGUAAGACUUGACUGGAAUAUCUAGUUACAGAAUAUCCCAGGGAAUUCUUUGGUCUUAUCAUUUUAAGGAAAAAGAAAAGCAACGGCAAGCAGAAUUACAGGAGAAAAAGGAAAUCGCAGAAAAAAAGUUUAAAGAAUGGUUGGAAAAUGCAAAAAAUAAACCUCGUCCGGCUGCAAAGAGCUAUGGUUACUCCAGUGGAAAGCUUACAGGUUUUUACAGUGGAAAUUCCUACCCAGAACCAACUUUUUAUAACCCAAUUCCUUGGAAGCCAAUUCAUAUGCCCCCUCCUAAGGAAGCUAAGAGUGGACCCGGAAAGAAGAGUAAACGACAUGCAGCGAGCCAGCCCCUCCCAUCGUCAUCCCUGGCAGUUCAUAAUGCCAAGAGCAGUCUUUGCCUUGGAGCUCUGUGCCGAGGACAGAGAUAGAGUGUGUGCACAGAGCAUACCUAGCUACCCGGAGCUUACAUUUAAAAUCAGAAUAUUUUUCUUAACACUUCCUAAUCAGUAAAUCAACAUUUGAUGUGGUAAUUAACAGGUACCAAAAUUUUAAAUUUGUAUGUGGAAUCCUUAGAGUUAAAGAUAGUUUUUAUAUUUUGGUUUUUAUAAACCGUUAAGGUUGAUCUAAUGAUUGUGUUUUAGUUUUUAUUAAAACUCACUACAGUAUCAAUAAACCAACAGUCUUUCUUGUG
rnacentral:lncRNA from 1 species